rnacentral:rRNA from 2 species
UACAGAGGCCACAAGCGUUAGGCGGAAUCACUGGGCUUAAAGCGUGUGUAGGUGGGUUGGUAAGUACCUUGUGAAAUCCCACGGCUUAACCGUGGAAUUGCUUGGUAUACUGCCGAUCUUGAGUCAUCUAGAGGUAACUGGAACUGAUGGUGGAGCGGUGAAAUGCAUAGAUAUCAUCAGGAACGCCAAUGGUGCAGACAAGUUACUGGGGAUGUACUGACGCUGAGGCACGAAAGCCAGGGGAGCAAACGGG